rnacentral:rRNA from 1 species
AUUGAACGCUGGCGGCAUGCUUUACACAUGCAAGUCGAACGGCGGCGCGGGCUUCGGCCUGGCGGCGAGUGGCGAACGGGUGAGUAAUGCAUCGGAACGUGCCCAGUAGUGGGGGAUAGCCCGGCGAAAGCCGGAUUAAUACCGCAUAAGACCUGAGGGUGAAAGCGGGGGACCGAAAGGCCUCGCGCUAUUGGAGAGGCCGAUGGCGGUUUAGCUAGUUGGUGGGGUAAAGGCUUACCAGGGCGCCGAUCCGUAGCUGGUCUCAGAGGACGACCCGCCCCACUGCCAGUCAGACGCGGCCUGGUGUCCCACCGGAGGCGGCAGUCGUUAUUUUUGGGCAGUGGGGGGCACCCUCCUCGAGGCAUGCCGCGUGUGGGACUAAGGCCUUCCGGUUGUAAACCACUUUUGUUCGGGAGGAAAGCCGCUGGGUUAAUCCCCCGGGCGGAUGCCGGUACCGGAGGAGUAAGCGCCGGCUAUCUACGUG